AAAGUCGUAACAAGGUAACCGUAGGUGAACCUGCGGUUGGAUCAUUACUGAUUACUAUGGGGUACGAGUUGAUUCGCAAGAGUCCUCCUCCCCAUAACUUACACCCUGUGCACUAUAUUGUAUUUUGGGCAGUUUGGUGGUACUUUAGUGUAUCCUAUUCGGCCCAAUCAAUGAAAAAGACCAUUAGAAUUCGUCUGAAAUUUUUAUUUAUAAUAAUAAACAACUUUUGACAACGGAUCUCUUGGCUCUC
rnacentral:misc_RNA from 1 species